rnacentral:rRNA from 1 species
CCUACGGGGGGCAGCAGUGAGGAAUAUUGGUCAAUGGACGAGAGUCUGAACCAGCCAAGUAGCGUGAAGGAUGACUGCCCUAUGGGUUGUAAACUUCUUUUAUAUGGGAAUAAAACGUUCCACGUGUGGGAUUUUGUAUGUACCAUAUGAAUAAGGAUCGGCUAACUCCGUGCCAGCAGCCGCGGUAAUACGGAGGAUCCGAGCGUUAUCCGCAUUUAUUGGGUUUAAAGGGAGCGUAGGUGGAUUGUUAAGUCAGUUGUGAAAGUUUGCGGCUCAACCGUAAAAUUGCAGUUGAAACUGGCAGUCUUGAGUACAGUAGAGGUGGGCGGAAUUCGUGGUGUAGCGGUGAAAUGCUUAGAUAUCACGAAGAACUCCGAUUGCGAAGGCAGUUCACUGGACUGCAACUGACACUGAGGCUCGAAAGUGUGGGUAUCAAACAGGAUUAGAUACCCUUGUAGUC